AUUGAACGCUGGCGGCAGGCCUAACACAUGCAAGUCGAGCGGAUGAAGGGAGCUUGCUCCUGGAUUCAGCGGCGGACGGGUGAGUAAUGCCUAGGAAUCUGCCUGGUAGUGGGGGAUAACGUCCGGAAACGGGCGCUAAUACCGCAUACGUCCUGAGGGAGAAAGUGGGGGAUCUUCGGACCUCACGCUAUCAGAUGAGCCUAGGUCGGAUUAGCUAGUUGGUGGGGUAAAGGCCUACCAAGGCGACGAUCCGUAACAGGUCUGAGAGGAUGAUCAGUCACACUGGAACUGAGACACGGUCCCGACUCCUACGGGAGGCAGCAGUGGGGAAUAUUGGACAAUGGGCGAAAGCCUGAUCCAGCCAUGCCGCGUGUGUGAAGAAGGUCUUCGGAUUGUAAAGCACUUUAAGUUGGGAGGAAGGGCAGUAAGUUAAUACCUUGCUGUUUUGACGUUACCAACAGAAUAAGCACCGGCUAACUUCGUG
rnacentral:rRNA from 1 species